UACGGGGGGGGCAAGCGUUGUUCGGAAUUACUGGGCGUAAAGGGCUCGUAGGUGGCCAACUAAGUCGGACGUGAAAUCCCUCAGCUUAACUGGGGAACUGCGUCCGAUACUGGAUGGCUCGAGUUUGGGAGAGGGAUGCGGAAUUCCAGGUGUAGCGGUGAAAUGCGUAGAUAUCGGGAGGAACACCUGUGGCGAAAGCGGCUCACUGGACCACAACUGACGCUGAGGCGCGAAAGCUAGGGGAGCAAACAGG
rnacentral:rRNA from 1 species